UACGAACUGUGCGAACGUUAUUCGGAAUCACUGGGCUUAAAGGGCGCGUAGGCGGGUCAUCAAGUCCGGGGUGAAAGCCCACGGCCCAACCGUGGAAGUGCCUUGGAUACUGAAGACCUCGAGGGGGAUAGGGGCGUGCGGAACUCAGGGUGGAGCGGUGAAAUGCGUAGAUAUCCUGAGGAACACCGGUGGCGAAAGCGGCGCGCUGGAUCCCUUCUGACGCUGAGGCGCGAAAGCCAGGGGAGCAAACGGG
rnacentral:rRNA from 1 species